rnacentral:sRNA from 17 species
GUACAAAAUAUGCUGAAUCCUUGUGAUUUAUGACGAGGUACGGAGGAACCAAGAAAAGGGGGUUAAUCCAUUUUAUAUGGUAGGGUGAUCCUAUUACCCGAACCCGGCAGCUAACUUCGGAAGCACAGUAUAGGAGGAAUA